rnacentral:lncRNA from 1 species
UCCAACUUCGUGAUCGCAACCUGCCCGAGGACAACAGGAUCAUCCUGAAUGAUCAUGACUCUUCUUAUUUCCAGCUUCCGUACGCACGCUUACGACCGUGGCAAUAAAAUGGAGCGUUAAGUCGAUCGGUGGGCGAACGAAUCGAUUCUAGAUUUUCACGCGAAGUACCAAGACAACUCGAGUCCUCUUAACGAAGCUGGAAGCUAAGGAUGGUGUACACACACUCGAGAUGUACGUACGCAGAAGAAAACGAGAGCCUGUCUACGAGGUCGGAGAGAGGAGGGAAGGGUGAGGAGCGAGUAUGGAGGGACCAGAUGAGGGGAGAAGAGAUAGAGUGAGAGAGAGAGAGAGAGAGAGAAAAGCUGGUGAGGAGAUAGGAGAUCUGAACCUGGAAGGAAGAGCUGCUGCUGGUACAGGUACAGUGAGCCUGAUCGACGCUUGUCAGGAUCGUAAGGUAAUAAAAUAUUAUUCAUUUCCUUAACAUUACGAUAGGUAAAAUCGACAGGAUAUAUAAAGUAGGUGAUAACGAGGAUAUUUAUUAGCUUAUAAUUGGCCGGAAUUCGACUGGUUGCAGUUAUUGCGUAUUUUUAUCGCGAUCAAAUUAUUGACUCGUUCCACUAAAAGUCUCAAUCGAAUAUUCUAGCAAUGUAAAUCAUGACCGGAGGCAAUGAGUGAACGCGAGAUAUGCCGCGUACUCGUAGAUAGAGAUGUAAUCGUGGAAAUAUAAUAACGUGUUCGAAUCUAAAUACGUUAUGGAAUUAUCCAAAAGUAUACGAGUACCUACACCACCAAGUCGGAGGCACGUUGCGCACGCAAUUAUCCAAAGGCUCGAACGUUGCUCGCUCGUUAGUCGCAUGCUACACGUAUAACGCGCGAAAGCCGUAUGCAUCUUCUGCAUUCAACGGUCUGUAUAAUCUCUUCCUGUAAAUGGCAAACGGUUUGUUGUUUGUUAGCCUCGAUUCGGUGGACUGUACGCCUCUACGUACUACGUUACGUUACGUUACUUGAGCGUAGCUACGCGCUUGGGGAGUCGUUCAGCCGUAACUCAUAACUUUUACGACGCUUUCGCGAAGGUACCUUAUUAACAUCGUAGCUGCACUAAUUUAUCCUCCGGCGAGGACUGAUUUUUAAUUGGCAAAAUGUUAUUACGUUGAGGUAUAGAGCGUCAAGUAGUUGUGUUGUAGUAAUGUAAUAAGUAUUUUACGGGUUGCCCAAAAACCUUGCCCUAUCCCAUACGAUCUCUCUAACAUUUAUACAUCGAUACUUAUUAGAUUUAUAAUUAAUCGUCAAUUUUAUUGUAAUGCCACGCGAUAUAUCUAUGACUUUAUUAUUAGACAAUUAUUAGUAACAUUUCGUAUAUGUACAAAACUCAUGAGGAUAUCUAUGUAACCUUUCCAUUACACCAGCAUAGAAGAAUAUUAAAUUUCAAUAAAAUAUCCAAUGUGUUUAAAAUGACGAAA